GACGAACGCUGGCGGCGUGCUUAACACAUGCAAGUCGAACGAAGUUGCGAACGGGUGAGUAACGCGUAGGUAACUGCCUGGUAGCGGGGGAUAACUAUUGGAAACGAUAGCUAAUACCGCAUACUACCAGAUGGACCUGCGUUGUAUUAGCUUGUUGGUGGGGUAACGGCUCACCAAGGCAACGAUACAUAGCCUACCGGAGAGGGUGAUCGGCCACGAUGGGACUGAGACACGGCCCAGGCUCCUACGGGAGGCAGCAGGAGGGAAUAUUCGGCAAUGGGCGGAAGUCUUACCGAGCAACGCCGCGGGAGUGAAGAAGGUUUUCGGAGCGUAAAGCUCUGUUGUAAGAGAAGCGGUAUCUUACCAGAAAGGGACGGCUAACUACGUGCCAGCAGCCGCGGUAAUUC
rnacentral:rRNA from 1 species